rnacentral:rRNA from 1 species
UACGUAGGGUGCAAGCGUUGUCCGGAAUUAUUGGGCGUAAAGAGCUUGUAGGCGGUUUGUCGCGUCUGCGUGUCGAAAUUUCGGGGCUCAACCCCGAACUUGCAGUGGGUACGGGCAGACUAGAGUGUGGUAGGGGAGACUGGAAUUCCUGGUGUAGCGGUGAAAUGCGCAGAUAUCAGGAGGAACACCGAUGGCGAAGGCGGCGCUCGUCGGC